rnacentral:rRNA from 1 species
UACGUAGGGACCAAGCGUUGUUCGGAUUUACUGGGCGUAAAGGGCGCGUAGGCGGCGCGGUAAGUCACUUGUGAAAUCUCUAAGCUUAACUCAGAACGGCCAAGUGAUACUGCAGUGCUAGAGUGUGGAAGGGGCAAUCGGAAUUCUUGGUGUAGCGGUGAAAUGCGUAGAUAUCAAGAGGAACACCUGAGGUGAAGACGGGUUGCUGGGCCAACACUGACGCUGAGGCGCGAAAGCGUGGGGAGCGAACAGG